UAAAAAUUACAAGAUUUAAAUAAACUUGUAAUUUAAUCAAAACUAUGGCACAUUUAAUAAUUUAAAUAGAAACAAUUUAUUUUUUUAAUACAGUACUGUUUUUACUCUUCUCACCUACAAACAUCAGGACACUUUUUUGUAUGCACAUCACAGGUUUGUCACCCCAUAAUGGAUCAGUUUGGUGGAGAAGGAUGAAACUCAACAUAUCAGGAUCAGAAUAACCACAGAAAAGUUCCUGAUUCCAGUUUGAGGAUCCAAACUGGAAUCAAAGCUAGAUCCCACAAAAUAACUUUCACGCUCUUUAAUUGUUAUCAUUUUUUCAAGUAUAAGAGAUCUGUCCUGCCAGAAAGUUCUUGUAUGUUUUAAAUUAUGCACCAACUGAUAAUUGAAUCCGAAUGCAAUUUGCACAGCUCCCUAGUGUAAAUGCAAGAGAGUGAAGUGCUUCUGGGAUGGGCUAGGUCUGAUGCAAGAUAUGGGUCUAUGGGUACAACAUGGAAACAAAGUAUUCAGUCAUCACAACGGAAAGGAAGACAGUAAAUAAGGGAUACCAUCAGGAGAUGAUGAAAAGCCUUCAUGAAGCAGUGAAGAAGAAGACUGCCUACUUAACAGAAUAGCAUCAUGACAACAUGUCCACCUAUAUAUGCUAACAACAGAGAAUUUUUGGCCAAGAACUCAAUGCCACUUGUUUCCCAAUUUUCAUUCACUGGACUUAGCUCCAACAUACUUCUUUUUAUGUAUAUAAACAAAAUAUUAAAAUAAGAGUGAAAGAGUUAAUGCUUCAAAAUAUUACAAUAUUUUGAAGCAUUAACUCUUCAUUUUGGAGAAAUGCUUUACCUUCUGUCCUUUUCAUACCUUCAGAAACAGUCUCUACAGGCGGUGAUGCAAAUUAUAAUUACACCAAAAAUGUUCCAU